rnacentral:rRNA from 1 species
AUUCCAGCUCCAAUAGCGUAUAUUAAAGUUGUUGCAGUUAAAAAGCUCGUAGUUGGAUUUCUGGUAGAAGUAGCGACCUUGGGUCUUUGACCUAUGAAGUUGCUAUCUUCAACCAUCCUUGAAGAGAUUUAGUUUGGCAUUAAGUUGUCGAACUAAAGAUAUUCAUCUUUUACUGUGAAAAAAUCAGGACGUUCAAAGUAAGCAUUUAGCUUUGAAUGUAUUAGCAUGGAAUAAUGAAAUAGGACUUAGGUACUACUUUGUUGGUUUAUGCACCUAGGUAAUGAUUAAUAGGGAUAGUUGGGGGUAUUCGUAUUCCAAUGUUAGAGGUGAAAUUCUUGGAUUUUUGGAAGACGAACAACUGCGAAAGCAUUUACCAAGGAUGUUUUCAUUG